GACGAACGCUGGCGGCGUGCUUAACACAUGCAAGUCGAACGGAAAGGCCUGCUUUCCCUUGUGGAUUGCGGGUACUCGAGUGGCGAACGGGUGAGUAACACGUGAGUGAUCUGCCCCCAACCUGGGUAUAAGCCUGGGAAACUGGGUCUAAUUCCCGAUAGGACUGCAGGGUGGUGCCUGUGGUGGAAAACGAUUUUCUAGUGGUUGGGGAUGAGCUCGCGGCCUAUCAGCUUGUUGGUGGGGUAAUGGCCUACCAAGGCGGCGACGGGUAGCCGGCCUGAGAGGGUGGACGGCCACAGUGGGACUGAGAUACGGCCCAGACUCCUACGGGAGGCAGCAGUGGGGAAUAUUGCACCAUGGGCGGAAGCCUGAUGCAGCGACGCCGCGUGGGGGAUGACGGCCUUCGGGUUGUAAACUCCUUUCGACCGCGAGGAAGCCACCUGGUUGGAAGGGUGGUGACGGUAGUGGUAGAAGAAGCACCGGCUAACUACGUG
rnacentral:rRNA from 1 species